CACUAAUGAAGGCUGAAAAAAACCACAGCUGAAAGCCUCGGACCAGCAGCAACACACUCUGAAGUAGGUCUCAGAAGACAAAAAGCUGAAAUCAACUCAUGCUUCCUGCUACACAGAAUCCACUGAGAGGAAAAGGAAACUUCACCGAAACUUCAGAAAGCUACAGAAAUGACAUCCAUUUUCACAAUCCCAGAAGGAAAGAUGCAUCUGAAGGGAAUAAAAACAGAGCAAUGGAAGAGUAUUUGUUAAAAUAAAU
rnacentral:lncRNA from 1 species